CUAACUCCUGGCCUCAAGUCGUCCCCCAGCCCUGGCCUCCCAAAGUGCUGGGAUGACAGGCAUGACCCACUGUGCCCCACGAAAAGCAUGCUUAUAUUUCAGAUGAAUCCAUUUUAACUCAUGGAAAGAAACUAGCAGCAGAAACUUACCUUUCUAGCAGCUUGAGAUAGAAUGGUUCAAAGUGUUAACAUACUCUACUAUUGUUCAAAUAUCGCAGGAAGAGUUCUCAAUUCUAAUGUAAUAUAUAUUAAGAGUCUCAUGAUAAAGUUUUAUCUUUUUUUAAGUGGGAUUUUUUUACUAGACUUAUGCACUAAUACAACAUGUUUUUCUAUAAACUAGCAUAUUUUUGGUUCUAUUUUAUGUUGUUUGUUAUGUCGCCUGAUAGUCGAAAUCAGUUGUUCUCAACCUGCUACCAAAUACCAACCUGGAAAUAUGCCACUAUUUAAAACGCCCAAAUAAUAGGGUUUUGUUUUUCCUUUUCAAUUGUUUGGUUUUCAAACUACAUGGUAAACCAGUUGGCAACCAUUACUGAACCAAAAUAGUUUUUCGUAUGCAUGAGCACCAUUUUCCCACAGAAAACACUUAACCAUUUUUAAGGUACUGGAAGUCCAUGCAAGGGUUCACAUAUGCAGUAAAUACCCUUUCAAUCUGAUUGUAUCACAUUGCUUCUGUGAAAGGAAGACCUGAUAUUGCAGAUUGCAGAAUUAAAUGGUAAAACUCAACGAAAAGCUGCACCUGAGGCUCAAACACUAGCCAGAUGGCCUUUGGUCGGAAAGGUCACAUCUGCGUUUUAAACCCCGCCGUAACUGUGAAUGUUUGAGAUGCCACCGCAUCCCCAGUACAAGAGAACUGGAGCAUCUCUGGUUCCUUCCAUAAUCGAAGGGUUUCCAGCACAGGGCGUAGGGGGAGAGGCCCGAAGCCCUGGAGACAGCGCCCGAGGAAUAUAGGCCGCGCUCGGCUGCGUCCGAAGUUUCAGGAUUUCCUCUAAUAAACAUAAGACUAUACAAGAAAUAAUUUAAACUUGGUCAGCUAGCAUUAUCCCAGAGGCUACUAGAUGCAACAAUAGAAUUACCAUAUUGUUUUUCCUGGUUUGAAAGGACCAGAUGGAAACAAACUGGGCAAGCCAAUGAACGUCUCUGGGGAUUAUGGGAAUUGAGUGUCUAUGAAAACCAUAUUCCAGAAAAGAAUAUAGUCUUAGGUUUAUGGGACUCCCCAGUAGUCUCUAUGUAGAGUCUAAUGUAGAAUCCGGGACUGCACAGAAAAUUCACUGGAUAUAAGAAACAAUGAUAACCUCUAUUUUUACAUCAAAAAAAUAAGAUACAAGUUAAAUUUACUAAUAUUUAACGUAUAGACUGACUCUCAAAGGUCAAACAGUCUCUAUGGUCAUGCUCCCUGUCCUGUUUGGUACAUGAGAGGUCUGGAAGAGAUGUCUGAGAGCUCCAAAAUGCAAGCAGCUUCACAGAGGACACAGCAAGAGGCAACAUUUUGGAAGCAGAAGGCAACUCUCACUGGAAACCAAAUCUACUGGCACCUUGAUCUUGAACUUUGCAGCCUCCAGAACUGUUAGCAGGGAGGCAUUCAUGUGUGAGGUCAAAACUGAGUCACAACCACAACCAAGUUCCAGCUGGCAACAAGAGGAAAAAUAUCAUGGAGGAGUUAUGACCAAUGUUGUAAGGAUCAGGCCUAGAAAUGGCAGGCAUCUUUUCCACUAAUAUCCUAUUGGUAAAAAUGUAGUCACAUGGGCACACCACCUAUCUGCAUGGAAGGCUGGGAAAUGUUGAUCGGUUGGGCAGCCAUAUGUGUAGGAAGGAGAAAACAGAAUUUGGUAGAUACCUAGUAGUCUCUGCCAUACCCUUGACCAGAAAUUUUUCUUCUAAAGAAUUGAAUUCUAAAAAUUAGAGACAUUCCCAAAGAUUUACCUGCAGGCAUCACAGCUUUGUGUAUAAUUGCAAAAAUUGAAAUCAACAUGAAUGUCCAAAAUAGUGAAUUAUUUAAAUAUAUUAUUAUGCAUAUUAUGAAGAAAUACUCUGCAACUCUUAAAAAUAAAUGUGAUGUGCCAGGUGCAAUGGGAUAUGCCUGCAGGCCCAGCUACUUGGGAGGCCAAGGCAGGAGGAUCACUUGAACUCAGGAGUUCAAGUCUAGCCUAGACAACAUAGUGGACUUGGCCUCUAAAAAAGAAAAAAAAAAAAAAGAGAAAACUGAUGUAAUGAAUAUAUAAUGACCAUAAAAGAAGUCUAACACUAUAGUAGAAAUGUUUGGGGCACUCAUCCCAUUCAUAAUUAUUUUACAUUUAAAUUACUGUUCCUAUGUAAGUGGUGAGCUUGGUAACCAUUUUCAUAUCAGGUGAUACUACUCCAGUAAUCAUAACUGUUUGAAUGAGGAAUAAUCCCAAUCACAUUUUCUCUUAAUAGUUUAUUAUACUGGGCAUUGGGGUUGCAAGACAAUGCACAGUCCAGGCUGAAUACAUGUCUUCAUGUACCUGUGUGUAAAUCCCACUUUUAUUCUAAAAUUCUUUGAAUAUUUUGUUUCUUGCAACCCAAUGAUCCCAAGAAAAUUAUAUGCUUUUACCUGAAAAUUAAAACCAAUAUUUAUGGAAAAGUGUAUAUGCAGUAUGAUCCCACUUUAUAAACAAAGACAAAUUUAUAGGAAAAAGGUUAUAUGGCUGAUAACAAUGACUGUCUCUGAGUGGUAGGAUUACAGUUAAUUUUUAUUUUCUUCACUCUGUUUAUCUUUAUUUUCUGAACUUUCUACAAUGAACAUGUUUUAUUUUUACUUUUGUUAAAAUAAAUAACAUUUAAUUUGACAGGACAUUCUAAAAAUCAACCUUUGGUAACUUCAGUAUUCACUGGCACAUUAGUCUGUGCCUGUUUCUGGGGGUCAUUCCCAUGAGAAAGGCAGGUAGAACUUAUGAGGAUAGAGCAGUUGAAAUAUUAUAGGUUUCAUAUUUUACGGCUUUAUUGAAAACAUUGAUAUAUUGAAUAUUUGUAAAUUUUAAUUUCAUUUUCUUUUAUAAUCCUCAGUGUGAGGCUAAGGUAUAAGGAGAUUGGUAAGGAAGUAUGAUACAUAUUGAAUCCGAUGUCAAGGUACCAUUGGUGCCUGGAUCUGACCAAUAGACCAAGGGAAAAAUCUCAAAGAAUGAGACUUGUAAUGAGAACACCACAAACUUGAAUACCUUAUACACAAAACACAAACAUUGUUAUGCAUAAUGUGCAUGAACCCUGAAACAAAGAUAAUGAUUUGGACCUCCCAACUGAAGUGGCAUGAACAAAAGAAACAGCAGAGAAAAAAACCAAAAUAACUAAAAUAAAUUGUUAGAGAAAAAUUACUUUAAAAAUAGCUAUAACACUUUGCAAUUUCAGUAACAGUUCUGCCUCUGAUGCAAUGUAAAACAUGUAUUAGACAUUCAGUCUCCACAAUAAAUUUUAAUGAGCACUACAAAUUUAGAAUAUAUAAAAAUAUCAGUAAUCUAUGAAUUCAUCAACAUAACUCACUUUUCAGUUAAGUUAGGCUGAGUUGAAAUUCUACUAAGUUUUCCCAUAUUCUUGAUAAAGGCUAAAUUUGAAAUUAUUUAUUUAGAUGACUGUUAAUUGGCAAUUUGAUAGUAGUUACAUUUUACGUAACACUUGAUAUAAUAAUUAACCAAAAUUAAUUGGUUCAAUAUUAUCUUCUGUGGUUUAUUGAUCCAAAAGUACAUAUUUGUUAUGUAAACUUAUACUAUGUAAACUCGUAUUCGCUUUUUGCUUCCUUGAAUUAAUAAAGCCCGUUAAUGCAAACCUAAGUCUUCAUAGACUUUUCCAAUCCUUAGUUAAAUAUUAAAAACUGACUACUGUAGUUAUUUGCUAGGUAUAAAAGGUGUGACUCAGAGCAGAGAAUAGGAUGUCAGCAAAUAGACAAUAAGAUGUCAGCAAAAGUGCCUCAAAUUGUAACUGCGACAAGUUAAGGGCAUUGUAAAUACUAUAGUUAUAUGUUAUUUGCAGCUUGCAACUUCUACUGAAAUGAGUUUAAUCAUGCCUUUCACACAGCUGAAGUUUGUGUCACGAUUUAAGCUGAUUUUCUCAUUCUUAUCAAAGUCUUACCUGGGGGUAGGGAGAGGUAGACCUGCAUCCCACCUCUAAUACUAUCAUUUUAGGAAGAGACAGGCAUAAAUCUGCUCAUCUAGUAGAACACAUGAUGUUAGAGUAUAUUUUGUUGAAUGCUAUGGAAUAUUAAUAUAAUUAAUUCUAAAAUAUCACCUAAAAAUGUCAACUGUAGAUCUGACUGUACUAGAUAUAAAAAAUAAAACAACAUAUACUUUC